UACGUAGGUGGCAAGCGUUGUCCGGAUUUACUGGGCGUAAAGGAUGCGUAGGCGGCUGUUUAAGUGAGAUGUGAAAUACCCGAGCUCAACUUGGGUGCUGCAUUUCAAACUGGAUAUCUAGAGUGCAGGAGAGGAAAGCGGAAUCCCUAGUGUAGCGGUGAAAUGCGUAGAGAUUAGGAAGAACACCAGUGGCGAAGGCGGCUUUCUGGACUGUAACUGACGCUGAGGCAUGAAAGCGUGGGGAGCAAACAGG
rnacentral:rRNA from 1 species